ACGUGUAUCGAAGGAACGGAGUGUGGUGUCCGUUGUGGGCUAGGAGGAGAAGAAGGAGAAGGAGUAGGAGGAGAAGGAGGAGGGGUUGUGGUGGUGGUGAGGCAUAAGCGAAGGUGUUGUUUUGGUUGCUGGCGCCCACUCACGCCCGUGUUGGUUGGCCGCAGGGAAAUUAAACGAUAGCGAAAAAAAUGUGUCCCGAGCUGUUAUUGUCGUUCCACAGAAAAUAAUGGGCAGGUUACUGGAUCUCCGUGAGGCGCGAGUUUUUUGUGCUACGUCUACCGUCUGUCUCCGCCGUCUAGCCAACACCGCUGCCAACCUAGAGUUCGUGAAGAUGGCACAGUCUGGCAACAGCUCAGUGCGGCGGGGGGCUCAGGCCCCUCUACAGGGGGCAGCACAUCCUCCUUCCACGCACCCCCAUGAGCCAAUGCCCCUUCCCUACCACUGGCAUGAAAAACAGUUCCUCGUGCAGGAGAUGAUGCAACGAGAACUGGAGGAGGCACGAGCCAGAGCCACGCAGAUGGAGAAGACGAUGCGAUGGUGGUCAGACUGUACUGCCAACUGGAGGGAGAAGUGGAGUAAGGUUCGGAGUGAACGUAACAAAGCACGAGAGGAAGUCAGAAUCCUGCGGGGCCGCCUGGAGGUGUCACAGAGGGAGAACGGCACCCUCAGGAGGGAAAAGAAUGACUUGGAGGCUCAGAUGUCUCAUAUAAGCAAGACUUACCACGGGAUGCGCCCCAGGAAAGACCCCUCUCUGGAACAGCAGGAUGACCCCAGAGACCAGGGAAGCCACACCCGAGACUCCCCGGAGCGGGACGGCAGCAAGCCCCUUCGGCCGCUCACCCAGCCUGAGGCGGAGAAACUCUCCACAGACGAGUUGCAGUUUAUCCGUGAUGCCAAGAACACAAACUUCAGUCUCCUGGAGGAGAUUUUUGGCUCACGUGGCCUCCACCACUCCAUUGAGGUGAUGGGCAAUGGGGAAGGUGGUGUGAGUGUGGAGGGGGAGGCACCCCCCCAGAGUGGUGGGGUUGAGAAUGUGUCAGUGUUUGCCCACAAGCCCAGUGAAGCCACGCGGCUCAGUGAGAAGUGUCGGGCAGGGAGGGAGGUGAAGGAUCUUAUCUGUGACGAAUACCUGCAGGACACGGCAGUGCGGGAGGACCAGGGAUCCUGCCAACACCAUCACCACCAUCAGCCUCACUACCAGCAGCACCCUGUGCCUCAGCGGGAGAAUGACGUGGAGGAAAAGAUGAUCCACACACAGCAGCAGCAACAACAACAGCAGCAGCAGCAACCGCAACAAGAGCAGUCUUUCCGAGAGGCAGCUGGAGGCAGCAGCAACAGCAGCAGCCAGCCAUCUCCCUCACACCGCAUCUCCACUAUGUCUGACCCAUUGCCAGACACCACGCCGUGCCACAUCAUCAACCCCAGGAUAUCUGCCGUGUCCGACCCCACCAGCGAGGUCUGUGGCGGCAGCGAGUGCAGUGAGGGAAUGCUGGAGGAGACUGCAGGGCGGCCCUGGGAAGGUGUUGCAGGACGGGAGGUGCGGCGUGGGGUCUGGAGGACUAGUGGAGGGGGGAGCCUCGGUGGGUGUGGCUCAUCCCUGCUGGAUGACUCGGCCAUCUCUCCAGAGCAGGAGAGUCUGGAGCAGCAGGUGACCAUGCUGAAGCUGAGGCUGGAUGAGGCCACCAAGACCGUCCAGGCAGAGAGAGAAGAGAAGUCGGCUCUGGACCGUGAGUGCUCAAAAUGGCAGGCAGAGACGUCAGAGUUGCGGCUCAGACUGGAGGACAUGCGGGCGUCCCGGCAGGAAGCAGUGAAGGAGCUGGUGGCCCUCCGUGCCCAGCACCAGAAAGAGGUUCAGACCCUCCAGCUGGAAAUGCUGGACGAGGCCUCCACCAGGGAGUGUAUAGACCGCAGAAUGGCUGACCUCCGAGCAGAGCUGGAGAGGUUACAGGAGGAGAAUGCUGCUGAGUGGGGCCGUCGGGAGCGGCUUGAAAGCGAGAAACUUGGUUUUGAGCGAGAGGUCAAAAAGCUUCGAGCUCAACUUGGUGAGCUGGAAGACAGACUUGACAAGAGGAACAAGCUGGCUGCUUCCUGCCCUGACUCAGAAGUGGCUCAGCUCAAGCAGGAGGUUGCUGAUAAAUACAAGGAGCUGACGGAGAUAAAACAUGCCCACGCUAAACUGAAGAAGGUUCUGUCAGAUAAAUCAACAGAGCUCCUCCACUGUUCCCGCCGGGCUGAGCAGUAUGAGAGUGAGGUGAAGCGCCUUCGUGCAAGGGUCGAUGAGCUGAAGAAAGACUUGGCAAAAGCAGAGGAUGAAGUGGAUGGAGCCUCCAAUAACAUGCGGAAGCUCCAGCGAAGCAAUGAUGAGCUCCAGGAGACAGUUGAAAAUCUAGAAGUGCAAGUGGAGCACCUUCAGUCCCGCCUGCGUUCCUCCCAGGCCUCCUCCCUUCCCCUCCGGACCUCUGCCCUCCUCCAGGACUCUGACGAUGACCCGGGCCAGUUCUGAGGUGUGUCAGACCACCAUUCAAGCCUGUGAGUGCACCUUCUUGCAUGCACUGCUGCACAGGCUUAAUGGCAUGGGAGGCUGAGGACCAAGGUAGUGUGCCUACUGCACCACAAGAGCCUUACAUGUCUGCACCGGCGGGUCGCUGAAUCUAUUUUCAUACUUGAUGCAUACUUCUAAGGACAAAUGUUGGACUUCAAAAUUCCAUCUCCAACAACUCAGGAGUUUGUGAUUCACUAAAUGAUGCCGAAUGCUGAUACAAAUAUUUGUGAACCACAAAAAAUCACUUCUGUGGUGUAGUGGUUAGUGCUCCUGGCUACUAAAUGAUUGGCCUCCAUGAGUCUGGGCCAGGAUGGUUGGUGCCCAGCCCACCCAUUUGUUCAUCCUCCCUUGGAGGUUGUCCAGUAAAGGGCUGCCUGGGAAAAGCAGCAGAAGGUUAACUGUUAAUCCAGACAGCACAGUUGGUUGUGUGUCCUGGGGCUAGGGAUGCAUAUCCACUGUAGACUCAAUGGCCAAAGAGACAGCUGAGUGCCGAGACAACAUGCAGCUUAGUGUAUGCCCUCUACUUUACCUUCACCUUAAAAUCUACCUGAGAUUUGCAUUGCAAGGCAUUAUCUCAAUUACAAAUGACAUUUUGUCAUGGCAAAGAUUGAAGGACUGAAGUAUGUAUACUAGGUUUUCAGUGUUUGAAACCAAUAAAUCUUAGGUGUUAAUGUUGCUGCUAAUAUUAUGGUGUGCCACAGCGGGCGGCUGUCGCUGUACACCUGCCAUGUCUCCAGGACACUCUACUCAAGCAUAAUGUCAGAAAGCCUAUUUAUUUACUUUUUUAUCUGUUACAUUGUUUUUGGUGAUAACUGUAUUGUGUGAGUUAGUGUUAUAUUCAGAGUAGCUGUUACCUAAAAAGGUGCUCAAAUUUUGUUAACUCAUUUUCCUAGGUGUGUAGUGUGUAAAGAACAUAGUAGUUAAUAUGUUUAACUCAUAAUAUUUAUGGCCAAAUAGGUUGUGAAAACUGCAGUGCAAAUAUAUUUGUUGUGCUUAUCAUAUCUUGGUUGUGCAGUAGUUUAUGGCAGAGACUGAUGUUGGACUAUACCCACAAACUAACGUGUAGCACUGAAUAGCCUGUUUGUAGGCAAGUGUAACCAGAAUUCCCCACAGCACUGUGUGUUAGUGGACUAGAACAGAGGCCUCAGAGCAUAGUACAGCUGUGUGCCAUGGGGCCAAGGCUCCAAAAAAGCACAGCUCUACAACACUUUGUUGAGUCUUCAUCCCCCUCCAGUACAGUACAGUAGCACCAUGAUGAUAGGUGGAUGGAACCACCGCAUGGCGCUGUGCAGCAGUGUUGCAAGGCAGAACACUACUAAGCAGUAUGCAGUAGUGUGCCUAGUUGCCAGAGCCCCUCGACAGCACAGUGCAUCCAUAUGGUGAGCAGCCAGUGUCCUUACACAACUUAGCUCAGUAGUGUUUCAAGUGGCCAAAACCCUUACACAGCUCAGUGCAGUAGCAUUUCCACAACACCUCAUGUGCUUUAUUGUGGCACAUAACAUCAGCUUCAAGGUUUCAUUUACGAUGUUAGUUAAUAGAGCUGUAUUCAGAUGGUAUGGUAUUUUCUUAAAGUAUUUUACACUCCUAGAUGUAUAGAUUGAUUCUAAGAAACUCAAGCGUAUCAAAAUGUUUCAGGAAGAGCCAUUAGCAAAGAAUAUUAGAGAUAUAUUAUUGCCAAGAGGGAAUGGAAGCGUUUCUGUUUUGGUGAGAGUUUCAUGUGAACAUGUUGAGAGCUAUUAAGGGUAAUCAUUGAGUCAGUUGCUAAGACUUUUAUCAAUAGAACGCUAUUUUCUUGACCAAUAACAAUUGUUUUCUACGAGUUGUUCAAUAGACAAUAGUUACAUAUUUUAGUGUGACGAGACUGUAAAGAGAACAAUUUACUUUGAAUAUUCAUCAAGGGCCAAAGAGAUGAUGAGCCCCUUCCCAUCGAGAUUCUGAUGGAUCACUAUUCUUGGCCUGCAGAAAACCUUAUUAUUGUAUUUUCUCAUUAACUGUGGAAUCAAUAAUAACAUUCUGCUUAUUUGCCAAAAGGUUGAAUGAAAUGUAAGUGGCAUGGAGGAUUCUUCUAGCACUUACCCUUCCUUACCUUGCUCAGUGCAAACCUUAUAGUUCUGAUUUGCCAAAACUAGAUCAGUAACAAGCGUAUUCCACUGAAGCCUUAGUGGACUAGUGAGCUUAAGUGUGGAGAGGUAGGCCUGUAACAAACAUUAGUUUCUUAAUUAGUUUUUAUGAUGAAUUCAGUGGCAGCUAUAAUGACUCAGCAUAAUAGUAUUUAUAUUACAGCUGUCGUGAAUCAAGCUCUUACAAUUGGAAGUAUUAAGUAUAUAUUUAUUUUUUACAUAUUAUCGGUUAAGUGAAAUUUUGUGCUGUUGUUUAAUAAUAGGAUAUGAAUUGUGUGAUUGCUCUCAUCUUCAAGAAUCAAAUGUUUUCAUAAGUGAUUUUUUUUUUACAUAAUUUAUCAGAAAACUGGUGAAAUGGGUUCUAUUGUAUUUGAUACUUGCUUUAUUAAAAGAAGGCAAAUGGUCACCAAAUGUUUCCCUCUGCCAGUCAAGUUCACAUCGAGCCCAGGUUCAUGAUUCGCACACUCGACGCAGCACUAACUCGCGGUCCGAGACACAAUUGCGGAACUGAAUGGCAACAACCUUCAAUAGGGGCUUCAACGUGCUUGUUUGUAUGUGCGCCGGUGGGAAUGACUAUAUACUUCUUCAGUGUCCCCCCUUUCCUUCACAUAACACGCCAUUCUUCCCUGUCAGCAUCAUAUUUAAUGUUCUGUUCAGUCUGACUCUUCUCUCCAGCCUCGAAGCAAAAAAUAAAUAAAUAAAUAAAAAAUAAAUAAAACCGCUUAUUGGAGUUAUCGCCACACACACUCUCUCUCUCUCUCUCUCUCUCAAGAUUAACUGUAUACGUGGGAAAAAAUACCAUUACAAUUGUAGAACAUUUCGGGCCAUUACACCAUGAAGUAUCACUGCUUUUGUUUCGAACCGCGAGUGUUUGGGCGAGCGUGCGAGUCGAAACAGUGGCUCUGAGUGCGCAUGUGCGUGGAAUGCCCCGUGGCCAAUGAGAAAGGUGCUGAAAAUCUGAACUGUUCACUCGACUGGAGCACGGGAAGGGGGGAGGACCUGCCCGCUGCUGACUCAUUGACACGGUAGUCAUUUUGUUGAGCAGUCUUCCUCUUUGUCCUUUUGGGAGGCCUGUUUUUGAGUGGCAGCAGCAUCAGGAUUUGUGGACAGAGGGAACAAGAACCACCCUCAUCCCCCCUCUCCACAUGCCCAAACCACCUCCAAAAUCCCUACUAUGAUGUACUGCACGUGAAUCCAGGAUUUUCAAAAGUAUGGAAACUCCUCCACACAUUCCAAGGACUUUUUAAGCUAGCUCGUGCAGUUUGACUACUAUAAGCGCUGGAAGGCUAGAACCCCCAGCGUGAACUACAUUCAACAGGGUUCUGCAUCAUCACACCUGAAAGAAACAACAACAGUAUUGUAAAUUUGAAUGCUGCUAGGUAUCCCUUCACUGUAUCUGGCAUGUUAUUCAAUAAACAUACUGAUGGGGAGCC